GUUUGAUCCUGGCUCAGAACGAACGCUGGCGGCGUGGCUAAGACAUGCAAGUCGAACGGACUCGUUAAUUUAUUAGCGAGUUAGUGGCGAAAGGGUGAGUAAUGGAUAGGUAACGUACCCCGAGCUCUGGGAUAGCCAUCCGAAAGGGUGGGUAAUACCGGAUAACAUCACAGGUCGAUGGGCUUGUGAUCAAAGAUUCAUCGGCGCGGGAGCGGCCUAUCUCCUAUCAGCUAGUUGGUGAGGUAAUGGCCCACCAAGGCGAAGACGGGUAGCGGGACUGAGAGGUUGGCCCGCCACAUCGGAACUGAGACACUGUCCGGACCCCCACGGGGGGCUGCAGUAACGAAUCUUGGGCAAUGGGCGAAAGCCUGACCCAGCGACGCCGCGUGCGGGAGGAAGUCCUUCGGGAUGUAAACCGCUGUCAGGGACGUGUAAGUCCACUUCGGUGGAUUGAUCUAACCCAAAGGAAGUCACGGCUAACUCUGUGCCAGCAGCCGCGGUAAGACAGAGGUGGCAAGCGUUGUUCGGUAUCACUGGGCUUAAAGCGUGUGUAGGCGGAAGCGUAAGCAUUUUGUGAAAUCCCUCGGCUCAACCGGGGCAUUGCUUGAUGUACUGCGUUUCUUGAGGCAAGUAGGGGUGCGAGGAACUCUUGGUGGAGCGGUGGAAUGCGUAGAUAUCAAGAGGAACGCCGGCGGUGAAGACGUCGCACUAGGCUUGUCCUGACGCUGAGACACGAAAGCGUGGGGAGCGAACGGGAUUAGAUACCCCGGUAGUCCACGCCGUAAACGAUGCUUACUAGGUUGUGGCGGUUCUGACGCCGGCACAGCCGAAGCCAAAGUGUUAAGUAAGCCGCCUGGGGAGUACGGUCGCAAGGCUAAAA
rnacentral:rRNA from 1 species